GUCGAUGAUUACCAGUCCAACCAAUUGAGGUGUAGAGAGCUCCAAGUCCCUGUGCUACAGUGAGAACCUGCUUGGACUUUCUACAUUCAAAUGCUAUUUUGGAGCAAUUUCUGAU
rfam:Ananas comosus cultivar MD2 ACMD2_Scaffold_846, whole genome shotgun sequence.